AUGAACGCUAGCGGCAGGCUUAACACAUGCAAGUCGAGGGGUAUUUAUCUUCGGAUAGAGAGACCGGCGCACGGGUGCGUAACGCGUAUGCAAUCUACCUUUUACAGAGGGAUAGCCCAGAGAAAUUUGGAUUAAUACCUCAUAGUAUAUAGACUCGGCAUCGAGAUUAUAUUAAAGUCACAACGGUAAAAGAUGAGCAUGCGUCCCAUUAGCUAGUUGGUAAGGUAACGGCUUACCAAGGCUACGAUGGGUAGGGGUCCUGAGAGGGAGAUCCCCCACACUGGUACUGAGACACGGACCAGACUCCUACGGGAGGCAGCAGUGAGGAAUAUUGGACAAUGGGCGCAAGCCUGAUCCAGCCAUGCCGCGUGCAGGAUGACGGUCCUAUGGAUUGUAAACUGCUUUUAUACGAGAAGAAACACUGCUACGUGUAGCAGCUUGACGGUAUCGUAAGAAUAAGGAUCGGCUAACUCCGUG
rnacentral:rRNA from 1 species